UACGUAGGGUGCUAGCGUUAAUCGGAAUUAUUGGGCGUAAAGGGCGCGUAGGCGGUCAGCACAAGUCAGUUGUGAAAUCUCCGGGCUUAACUCGGAAAGGUCAACUGAUACUGUGCGACUAGAGUGCAGAAGGGGCAACUGGAAUUCUCGGUGUAGCGGUGAAAUGCGUAGAUAUCGAGAGGAACACCGGUGGCGAAGGCGGUUCUCUGGGCCUUACCUGACGCUGAGGAGCGAAAGCGUGGGGAGCGAACAGG
rnacentral:rRNA from 1 species